rnacentral:rRNA from 1 species
CCUACGGGAGGCAGCAGUGAGGAAUAUUGGUCAAUGGGCGCUAGCCUGAACCAGCCAAGUAGCGUGAAGGAUGACUGUCCUAUGGGUUGUAAACUUCUUUUAUAUGGGAAUAAAGUGCAGUAUGUAUACUGCUCUGCAUGUACCUUACGAAUAAGGAUCGGCUAACUCCGUGCCAGCAGCCGCGGUAAUACGGAGGAUCCGAGCGUUAUCCGGAUUUAUUGGGUUUAAAGGGAGCGUAGGCGGGUUGUUAAGUCAGUUGUGAAAGUUUGCGGCUCAACCGUAGAAUUGCAGUUGAUACUGGCAGCCUUGAGUACGGGAGAGGUAGGCGGAAUUCGUGGUGUAGCGGUGAAAUGCAUAGAUAUCGCGAAGAACUCCGAUUGCGAAGGCAGCCUGCUGGACUGUAACUGACGCUGAUGCUCGAAAGUGUGGGUAUCAAACAGGAUUAGAUACCCUUGUAGUC